CAAUGGGAUGCGAAUCUCGAAAGCCUGUCUCAGUUCGGAUUGGAGGCUGAAACCGCCUCCAUGAAGUUGGAUUCGCUAGUAAUCGCGCAUCAGCCAUGGCGCGGUGAAUACGUUCCCGGGCCUUGUACACACCGCCCGUCAAGCCAUGGGAGCCGGGGGUGCCUGAAGUUCGUGACCGCAAGGAGCGACCUAGGGCAAAACUGGUGACUGGGGCUAAGUCGUAACAAGGUACC
rnacentral:rRNA from 1 species